rnacentral:rRNA from 1 species
GAUGAACGCUAGCGGCAGGCCUAACACAUGCAAGUCGAGGGGCAGCGCGGGUAGCAAUACCUGGCGGCGACCGGCGCACGGGUGAGUAACGCGUAUGCAACCUGCCCGCCACAGGGGGGUAGCCCGCCGAAAGGCGGAUUAAUACCCCAUCGCCCCACGUUCCGGCAUCGGGAUGUGGGUAAAGGAGCGAUCCGGUGGCGGAUGGGCAUGCGUGCCAUUAGCUAGUUGGCGGGGUAACGGCCCACCAAGGCGACGAUGGCUAGGGGGUCUGAGAGGAUGGUCCCCCACACUGGUACUGAGACACGGACCAGACUCCUACGGGAGGCAGCAGUGAGGAAUAUUGGUCAAUGGGCGGAAGCCUGAACCAGCCAUGCCGCGUGCAGGAAGACGGCCCUACGGGUUGUAAACUGCUUUUCCGGGGGAAGAAUAAUCCCGACGUGUCGGGAGAUGCCGGUACCCCGGGAAUAAGGAUCGGCUAACUCCGUGCCAGCAGCCGCGGUAAAGUCUGUACU